UUUUAACACGAAGUGAGUGGCGAACGGGUGAGUAACACGUGGGUAACCUGCCCAGAAGUAGGGGAUAACACCUGGAAACAGAUGCUAAUACCGUAUAACAGAGAAAACCGCAUGGUUUUCUUUUAAAAGAUGGCUCUGCUAUCACUUCUGGAUGGACCCGCGGCGUAUUAGCUAGUUGGUGAGGUAAAGGCUCACCAAGGCAGUGAUACGUAGCCGACCUGAGAGGGUAAUCGGCCACAUUGGGACUGAGACACGGCCCAGACUCCUACGGGAGGCAGCAUAGGGAAUCUUCCACAAUGGACGCAAGUCUGAUGGA
rnacentral:rRNA from 1 species